rnacentral:rRNA from 1 species
GGAUUAGAUACCCUGGUAGUCCACGCCGUAAACGAUGUUCACUAGGUGCUGUGGGAGUUGACCCCUGCGGUGCCGUAGCUAACGCAUUAAGUGAACCGCCUGGGGAGUACGGCCGCAAGGUUAAAACUCAAAGGAAUUGACGGGGGCCCGCACAAGCGGUGGAGUAUGUGGUUUAAUUCGACGCAACGCGAAGAACCUUACCUGGGUUUGACAUCUGAGGAAUCCGCUAGAGACAGUGGAGUGCCCUUCGGGGAACCUCAAGACAGGUGCUGCAUGGCUGUCGUCAGCUCGUGCCG